rnacentral:rRNA from 1 species
UACGUAGGGUGCGAGCGUUAAUCGGAAUUACUGGGCGUAAAGCGUGCGCAGGCGGUUCGUGAUGUCUGGUGUGAAAGCCCCGGGCUUAACCUGGGAAUUGCAUUGGAAACUAGCGGGCUGGAGUGUGGCAGAGGGGGGUGGAAUUCCACGUGUAGCAGUGAAAUGCGUAGAGAUGUGGAGGAACACCGAUGGCGAAGGCAGCCCCCUGGGCUAACACUGACGCUCAUGCACGAAAGCGUGGGGAGCAAAAGGG